GAUGAAGAACGCAGCGAAAUGCGAUAAGUAAUGUGAAUUGCAGAAUUCAGUGAAUCAUCGAAUCUUUGAACGCACAUUGCGCCCGCCAGUAUUCUGGCGGGCAUGCCUGUUCGUGCGUCAUUACAACCCUCAGGCCCCCGGGCCUGGCGUUGGGGAUCGGCGGAGCCCCCCGUGGGCACACGCCGUCCCCCAAAUGCAGUGGCGGUCCCGCCGCAGCUUCCAUCGCGUAGUAGCUAACACCUCGCGACUGGAGAGCGGCGCGGCCACGCCGUAAAACACCCAACUCUUCUGAAGUUGACCUCGAAUCAGGUAGGAAUACCCGCUGAACUUAAGCAUAUCAAUAAGCGGAGGA
rnacentral:misc_RNA from 1 species